UGAAGGCUUAGAAAUAAACAAGAAUCUAACAGAAGAGAAUAUUGGUCACUCAGGAUUGAACUGUGAAGUCCUUGGUGAAUUUGUCGGUUUAUAGAAUUGGGGAAUUGUCCUGCUGGAAAGGAUUAUCUAAGCCAUCCUCCUGUUGUCUCUGCUGGAACCCAAUUGAAAGAAUCCUGGGAAAAUGUCUACCUAGCAUCCCCUUGAGCCCAUCUAAUCAAGGAUAAGCUAUCACCUUUUGAGCUACGAAGCGUGGGCUGUACUGACCAAGAAGAUUGCUGGUUGGCAAGAAAGAGAAUUCUGCAGCCCAGAUUUACU